rnacentral:rRNA from 1 species
UCUCAAAGAUUAAGCCAUGCAUGUCUUAGUACAGACUGUAAAUAAAGUGAAACCGCGAAUGGCUCAUUAAAUCAGUUAUAAUUCCUUGGAUAAUGUAACCUUACACGGAUAACUGUGGUAAUUCUAGAGCUAAUACGUGCAACCCAUCUCURACCCUUCCUCGGAAGCUGGAAAGAGUGCAUUUAUUAGACCAAGACCAAUGUUCUUYUUGCUGUAAAAGGCAAGARGUUCCMYAAACUUGGUGACUCUGAAUAACUGAGUUGAUCGCAUGGCCCCAGUGCCGGCGACAUAUCCUUCAAGUGUCUGCCUUAUCAACUGUCGAUGGUAGGUUAAGUGCCUACCAUGGUUGUAACGGGUAACGGGGAAUUAGGGUUCGAUUCCGGAGAGGGAGCCUGAGAAAUGGCUACCACAUCCAAGGAAGGCAGCAGGCACGCAAAUUACCCAAUCCCAGAACGGGGAGGUAGUGACGAAAAAUAACAAUACAGGACUCUAUUGAGGCUCUGUAAUUGGAAUGAACUGUAUAUAAAUCCUAUUGUAAGGAUCAAUUGGAGGGCAAGUCUGGUGCCAGCAGCUGCGGUAAUUCCAGCUCCAAUAGCGUAUAUUAAAGUUGUUGCGGUUAAAAAGCUCGUAGUUUGAUCUCAGCUCUCUGUCUUUUCUGCUGUUAACUCAAUAAACYGCCMUCUGAAAGGAUGGUGGUGGGUUUUUCUGGCAGGACAGAGUUGCAUGRAAUCGUUCAUCCUGCUGAUGCUCUUYACCGGGUGUCAGUAUGGGGACGAUACGUUUACUUUGAACAAAUUAGAGUGCUCAAAGCAGGCUUAUAUUAUGCCCUGAAUAACCUUGCAUGGAAUAAUGGAAUAGGACCUUUGGAUUCUAUUUUGUUGGUCUCCUGAAUCUAAGGUAAUGAUUAAGAGGGACAGACGGGGGCAUUCGUAUUGUUGCGCUAGAGGUGAAAUUCUUGGACCGCAGCAAGACGAACUACAGCGAAAGCAUUUGCCAAGAAUGUUUUCAUUAAUCAAGAACGAAAGUUAGAGGUUCGAAGGCGAUCAGAUACCGCCCUAGUUCUAACCAUAAACGAUGCCAACCAGCGAUCAGUCAGAGUUAAUUUAUAAUGGCUCGACUGGCAGCUUCCGGGAAACCAAAGUGUUUCGGUUCCGGGGGAAGUAUGGUUGCAAAGCUGAAACUUAAAGGAAUUGACGGAAGGGCACCACCAGGAGUGGAGCCUGCGGCUUAAUUUGACUCAACACGGGAAAACUCACCCGGYCCGGACACUAAGCGGAUUGACAGAUUGAGAGCUCUUUCUUGAUUUAGUGGGUGGUGGUGCAUGGCCGUUCUUAGUUGGUGGAGUGAUUUGUCUGGUUAAUUCCGAUAACGAACGAGACUCUAGCCUACUAAAUAGACUUGCUCUCCAGUUGGUGGGUYAMCUGGUGCAUYUCAUCGUAGCAKGGUUCGCUGUGUUGCRGKGUUGUGUACUGGCCACCUUGUAGAGUAAGGACUUCUUAGAGGGACAGGCGUCGUUAUAGACGCACGAAACAGAGCAAUAACAGGUCUGUGAUGCCCUUAGAUGUCCGGGGCCGCACGCGCGCUACAAUGAAGCAAUCAACGUUUUCUAKUCUUCCUUCUCUGGAAAGAGUGGGUAACACGUUGAACCUGCUUCGUGCUUGGGACUGGGCAUUGUAAUUAUUGCCCACGAACGAGGAAUUCCCAGUAAGCGUGAGUCAUAAGCUUGCGUUGAUUACGUCCCUGCCCUUUGUACACACCGCCCGUCGCUACUACCGAUUGAAUGAUUAAGUGAGGUCUUUGGACUGACUGGAGCAGCUUGCCGUCAAAAAGUAAGCUAUUCUGUGUUGGAAAAAUGCCCAAACUUGAUCAUUUAGAGGAAGUAAAAGUCGUAA